GGUCAUUUGUUCACCUAAUUUUAAAGAUUAUUAAAUUUUUUGGUUAUCAAUGGACCUACUUUUAAAACACCAAGUUAACAUGGCUUGGCUCCUUAAACGGUGUGUGUAAAUACCUAACUACUGGUAUGUAAUAUACAAGAUUUAGUUCUGAAAGAGUGAUUUGUAUCAGCAACAUAAUCAGAAGAUAUUUUAAGAUUUGUGUUUUCAGUAUUCUUAUUUGCUUACAUUGUCAAAAUUGACUACCAUAAUGAUGCCAUUGCUACCUCUAUUUUGUUUUCUAGCCAAAGAUUGAUUUAUGGGGCUACACAAAAUUCUUCCAAUUCUUCCAAUUUGGUUGGGGAUUGUAUACAUUUUUCUGAUACUAGAGCAAGACAUAGAUUACUAUAUUUGGUAACUCUAAAACCAACUCAGGAUUUCAGUAUAGGCAGCUGUGAAAUCCCCCCCCCCCCGGUUCUAUCCAGCUCGCCGAACCGGUAGCGCUGGCGGUGGGAGGCUCUGCCCACCCACCAGGACAUCAUUACGUCCCGUUUUUUAACCAUCUGCGCAUGCACAGAGGGUUCUGCGCAUGCGCAGAAGAGGCACUCCUGCGGGUAGUAUGUGUGUGUUCCCACGCGGGAGCGCACCCAAACUGAUAGCAAAGUGGAUUCUGAAAUUGCCAGAACCAGAGAUGAAUUCUGAGGGAAAACUUACAACAUUGUAAAUAAAUGUGAUCCAGGAGGAAAAAAAAUAUCCUGCUAUAUGGCACAAAUGGAUGGAUGGGAAUAUGAAAACAGAGCACAGGAAAAUGACUGAACCACUCAGUGACUGAAGAAUGAGCAAAAACAGUGAUAUCUGUUUUAAAAAGGAUAUUUGUUUCCAAUAUGGUUUGUGCAUAAGUCUGUUAGAAUGAAAUUCUGGCUUCAGAUCCAGUCUGGAUCAUCUAAGAAUCACACAGGUCGAGUUGCUUGAAGCAGAGAUGAAGGUUAUUUCAAUAACAUAACAGAUAAUCUCAACAACUGAAGAUAGGCUACAAAAUAGAGUUAGUUACCUUUAUACAUUUUCUUUAUACCUUUCCUUGUAAUCAUUGUUCCAUUAUUACAAAUACUUUGUUUUAAGUGAAUUAUAUUAAAUGUGAGAUUAUUAUUUUUUCUAUGAAGACAGUUCACUUUUGAUUAACACAUUCGUCAUAUGCUUCCUGAUGACAUAAAUCUAUAGUAUACUUGAAAAGGACCGAAAUACAAUUCUUAGCUCUGCAUUUAUACACACACCAUCCAAUAUUAUCUGGCAAUGCUGGCAGAAAACAUUUAUUCACAAAAAGCAUCAUGCUUUCUCAUAAAUAUGCUGCUUUGUGUACUUCCAUUCUGCUUCCAGAAAGUGAGGAAUCUGAGGAACUCAUUAUGACAUCACUCAGUUGUAUUCAUUGCAUUGCCUGUACUAUUUCCACCACUUUGUUGAUCUGAUAUAAAUAAUUAUAUUUAUUUAUACAUGUAAAUGUUUAAUUAUUUUGUUGACUUGUAGAAUUCUGCUCAGAGUCUAAUAAAAAAAACAAAAAAACAAAAAACAAUCUACUUGUUUUGGCAUAUGCCAUCUUUUGGGAGUACCAAGGGUCAUAUCUGUAUUUUAAAAUAAAAUUUCAAAUGUUAAUGU